UACAGAGGGUGCAAGCGUUAAUCGGAUUUAUUGGGCGUAAAGGGCGCGUAGGUGGUUGGAUAAGUUAUAUGUGAAAGCCCCGGGCUUAACCUGGGAACUGCAUGUAAUACUGUUUAACUAGAGUACAGUAGAGGGUAGUGGAAUUUCCGGUGUAGCGGUGAAAUGCGUAGAUAUCGGAAGGAACACCAGUGGCGAAGGCGGCUACCUGGACUGAUACUGACACUGAGGCGCGAGAGCGUGGGUAGCAAACAGG
rnacentral:rRNA from 1 species